rnacentral:lncRNA from 1 species
UUUGCCUUUUGUGCCCUUUCACUAUGAUGUAUAUCUCGUCACAAUCCAGAGUCAAUGUAGCCAGCAAUCUGAGGGCUGAACACUCUGAAGGAGACAGCCUUGUGGGGGAAAUGAGGGCUUUGGACGCAGAAAACUUAGAAUUGAUUCCCAGUACUGUAAUUAACCAGCUGUGGGACUUUGUUCAAGAUCAACCUCUCCACUUCACUUCCUGACCUAUACAAUGGAUAAAAUGGUAACCUGCCUUGGCCUCUUGGAACCCAAUUUCCUCUCUGGAUACCUGAUAAUUUUGUCUGGUCAGGUUCAUGCCAGCGUUCACCUGUUUUAUAGCACCUCACAUCCCCACCAUUCAACCCCAGCUGACCAUGUGGGUCAAGGGCUGGACUAGGACUGGAAAGAAAGUAUGUUGUACAUUCUAAUUUUUCUUUCAAAUAACACAAAUAUAAAUACAAAAUCC